rnacentral:rRNA from 1 species
GAUUCAUGAUAACUUUACGGAUCGCAUAGCCUUGCGCUGGCGACGGUUCAUUCAAAUUUCUGCCCUAUCAACUUUCGAUGGUAAGGUAUUGGCUUACCAUGGUUUCAACGGGUAACGGGGAAUUAGGGUUCGAUUCCGGAGAGGGAGCCUGAGAAACGGCUACCACAUCCAAGGAAGGCAGCAGGCGCGCAAAUUACCCAAUCCCGACACGGGGAGGUAGUGACAAUAAAUACUGAUACAGGGCUCUUUUGGGUCUUGUAAUUGGAAUGAGUACAAUUUAAACCUCUUAACGAGGAACAAUUGGAGGGCAAGUCUGGUGCCAGCAGCCGCGGUAAUUCCAGCUCCAAUAGCGUAUAUUAAAGUUGUUGCAGUUAAAAAGCUCGUAGUUGAAACUUGGGCCUGGCUGGCGGGUCCGCCUCACCGCGUGCACUCGUCCGGCCGGGCCUUCCUUCUGAAGAACCUCAUGCCCUUCACUGGGCGUGCUGGGGAAUCAGGACUUUUACUUUGAAAAAAUUAGAGUGUUCAAAGCAGGCCUUUGCUCGAAUACGUUAGCAUGGAAUAAUAAAAUAGGGCGUGCGUUUCUAUUUUGUUGGUUUCUAGAGACGCCGCAAUGAUUAACAGGAACAGUCGGGGGCAUCAGUAUUCAGUUGUCAGAGGUGAAAUUCUUGGAUUUACUG